UACGGAGGAUGCAAGCGUUAUCCGGAAUGAUUGGGCGUAAAGCGCCCGCAGGUGGCUAUGUAAGUCUGCUGUUAAAGAGUGAGGCUCAACCUCAUAAGAGCAGUGGAAACUACAUGGCUAGAGUGCGUUCGGGGCAGAGGGAAUUCCUGGUGUAGCGGUGAAAUGCGUAGAGAUCAGGAAGAACACCCGUGGCGAAGGCGGCUCUCUGGGACGGUACUGACGCUGAGACGCGAAAGCGUGGGGAGCGAACAGG
rnacentral:rRNA from 1 species